rnacentral:rRNA from 1 species
CAGUCGAACGGACUCAUAUUGAAACCUAGUGAUUUAUGAGUUAGUGGCGGACGGGUGAGUAACGCGUGGAUAACCUGCCGUAUACCGGGGGAUAACACUUAGAAAUAGGUGCUAAUACCGCAUAAGCGCACGGCUCCGCAUGGGGCAGUGUGAAAAACUCCGGUGGUAUACGAUGGAUCCGCGUCUGAUUAGCUAGUUGGCGGGGUAACGGCCCACCAAGGCAGCGAUCAGUAGCCGGCCUGAGAGGGUGGACGGCCACAUUGGGACUGAGACACGGCCCAAACUCCUACGGGAGGCAGCAGUGGGGAAUAUUGCACAAUGGGGGAAACCCUGAUGCAGCGACGCCGCGUGAGUGAAGAAGUAUCUCGGUACGUAAAGCUCUAUCAGCAGGGAAGAAAAUGACGGUACCUGACUAAGAAGCCCCGGCUAACUACGUGCCAGCAGCCGCGGUAAUACGUAGGGGGCAAGCGUUAUCCGGAUUUACUGGGUGUAAAGGGAGCGUAGACGGCAGCACAAGUCUGGAGUGAAAUCCCGGGGCUUAACCCCGGAACUGCUUUGGAAACUGUGCGGCUGGAGUGCAGGAGGGGUAAGCGGAAUUCCUAGUGUAGCGGUGAAAUGCGUAGAUAUUAGGAGGAACACCGGUGGCGAAAGCGGCUUACUGGACUGUAACUGACGUUGAGGCUCGAAAGCGUGGGGAGCAAACAGGAUUAGAUACCCUGGUAGUCCACGCCGUAAACGAUGAUUACUAGGUGUCGGGGGAUCAAGGUCCUCCGGUGCCGGCGCAAACGCAUUAAGUAAUCC